GUAAGUGAUUCAGAUGAGAAACCUGAAACCAAGUAUGAUCAUAUGGUAACUACAAAAAUCCAACAAUUUGAACAGCUGUCCUGUCUUAAUAGGUAUGUCUGAAAGAUAAAAGAUCUACCUUGUCCUAGUGAUGAAUCUAAAAGCAAGAAACAAAGAAAGAAAGAAGGUGCAAACAGUAUAAGGUCAACAAAUUAUGCAUUUUGUUAAAUACAUAAAUCCUUCACAUUUGUCUAUUCUCCAAAGAACAAAGAAUGGUUUCAGAAUCCCAAUGCAUGAUACCAACUCAUAAUAAUACUCGCAUAAUGCUUCUGAACUUCACCAUUCUUCUUCACAUUGUGUUUUGCUGCAUUUGUGUUAAUCCCUUACAAGCUACAAAAUAAGGAUAGGAAAAAUAAUUGCCAUUAUUGAAGAUAUAUUCCUAAUCAAUCAAUUUUGCAAUGCAGCACACUGUAUGUAGGAUAAAACUAUCAGUACAUAACAUCUGGAUCAAAGAAAGAAAAAAAUUAGCAGAUAGGUACAUGCCGAUAUGGUAACUUGUUUAUGGUACAUAAGCGAAUAAGAAUAUCCAUUCAAGAGCCAUAUAUUAGAUUUGAAUAAAAACUCCAGACUUGAGUUAAGAAAAGCACAAAAGAGAAACCAACAGAUGAAAAGAGAAAAUUUCUAGAGAAUAGGCAUUUCCGCUCCCUUUGUGCUACACAGUAUCCAUUCUGGUAACUAAAAAAUAAAUAAAUGCACAAUUACAAGUUAGAUCAGCACUAAAGCUUACAUUACAGCACAUUCAAUGAGCAUGCAGAACAUAUUAACAAAAGAAAAUAAGACAACAAAAUGUAAUAAUACUUUACUCAUAACUGUUUAUAAGGUCUGCUCCUGUUUGGAUUGGGCAUUUCAUUCAUUCCUUAACAUAGAAAUGCCCAAGCUCAACAAAUUUAUAAAUCAUAUAACAAACUCUCAAGCAUCAUUAUCAAUGCAAUCCAUCUUCACUGUAAUCACAUUGGUCACGCAUAUGGGCCUGUAGGUGGUCACGCAUAUGGGCCCGUAGGUAGUAACUAAUGCAUUGCUACUUCAAGAAGAAACCAGCAAACCACACCACUUACAAAUCUGACUUACUUCCAGCCUUGCGCCACAAAGCAAUGACCUAUAAUUUUACAAUGAGAACUUAAAACCAGAAGAUAAUAAGCUGAAGGCCCUAUCACUAAUAUGUCGUUCUAAUUUAUAUUAUAUUAACAUAUCUAUUUCACCAUGGGAAAAGCUUUCAUUUUCCCUACAAGUUCCUUAACCUUACAAUUGGACACAUGAUGCAAAAACAAAAACUAUUAGAGAAUAACAAAACAAGAAAAUCAAUUCUGCUAAGCAAUGAACAUUGAACAGUAUCCACAAAUAUCAAAUUUUCAAAGACCCACGAUACCUUGGCCAUCAUUUAAGUAACAUUGAAAAUAACCUCUCAUUUUUCAUCCCCUAAUAACAAAUUAUAGGCAUGAGUACAUUGCGGCACUUCAAUUGCUGCUGACUGCUGUAUAGUAAAACGAUAAGUUCUUUAAUCCUCUUCUUGAAGGUGUCUGAA
rnacentral:misc_RNA from 1 species